rnacentral:rRNA from 1 species
AUUGAACGCUGGCGGCAUGCCUUACACAUGCAAGUCGAACGGUAACGCGGGGCAACCUGGCGACGAGUGGCGAACGGGUGAGUAAUAUAUCGGAACGUGCCCAGUAGUGGGGGAUAGCCCGGCGAAAGCCGGAUUAAUACCGCAUACGACCUGAGGGUGAAAGCGGGGGAUCGCAAGACCUCGCGCUAUUGGAGCGGCCGAUAUCAGAUUAGGUAGUUGGUGGGGUAAAGGCCUACCAAGCCGACGAUCUGUAGCUGGUCUGAGAGGACGACCAGCCACACUGGGACUGAGACACGGCCCAGACUCCUACGGGAGGCAGCAGUGGGGAAUUUUGGACAAUGGGCGCAAGCCUGAUCCAGCCAUGCCGCGUGUGGGAAGAAGGCCUUCGGGUUGUAAACCACUUUUGUCAGGGAAGAAACGGUCGGAUCUAAUACAUCUGGCUAAUGACGGUACCUGAAGAAUAAGCACCGGCUAACUACGUGCCAGCAGCCGCGGUAACAC